CACACGCAGCACAGAGCCCUCCUGCAGCCCCUCGACGCUGCGCAGCUCCGAGAAGUGGUCCAGCACGUUGCCAUCCAGGUGCAGUGAGAAGCAGGUGCGGUGACACGUGUCCUCCCGGUCCAUGAGCACCUGGUGAAUCUCCUGCACCAUCUCCUGGGGGGACACCUGCAGGGAGAAGGGCUCGAUCCCAGGGGCGAGGAUCUUCACAGAAAAGCCCGUGUCCUGAAUGACAAUGACUUCCUGGCCGGUGGUCUCAUCUCCCGGGCCGGCCUCGUCAAGCCCAUUUUCCCUGGGUGGCUCGGCC
rnacentral:lncRNA from 1 species